rnacentral:lncRNA from 1 species
GAAGAGCUUUAUGCUAUAUAACUGUGAGUGAAUUCAUGAAAAACAUAUACAUGCAUUCAUGAAUUAAAUAGGAUAUUGGAUAUUCCAAUAAAGAAGUAUAUCGGAUUAUAUUUAUCUAAUAAAGAAGGAUAUUAGAGGUGAGAUACUCUAAUAAAGAAGAUGGUACCACAUGCAUUAGAUAUGUCUAGGGUGACAUUGCAUGAAGUUGACGCAUUAGAAUGCAUUAGGUUAUGUGUACAUUUAUGUGGUAAGUGAUAUGUGACACAUACUUGACUAAUUGUGAUAAGUGAUAAUUGAUUGUGUGGGUAUUCGAUUUUAUGUGUUUAUGUCCUUAUGAUUGAAUGGUAGAUUGUUGAUGAAUAUGUAUGAAUGUAUGAUAUAUGCAUGAUUAUUGAAGAAGUGUUUAAGUACCAUUUACUUACACUUGUAUAUUUUGAGUAUGUUAUAUAACUCUCUUUUAUGUGUUAUGUGCUGGACCGUUGGAGGUCCAAAUUUACAGGUUUUUGUGGUAUUCGAUGUCGAGUCGUUGGUGAAGAUCUGCUCUGAUUGUGACACGGGAAAAAGGGUUGUAUUUAGACUAUAGUGUCUUUAUAACUUUUGAUAUUUAUUUGUAAAACUAUACCUUUUGAUAAAUAGGAUUAUUUUGUAUAAAGCAUUUUUACUGAUUAACUACGUUAGUAUUAUUUUGAUUGAAGAAUGUAAUACUCGAACCACAACUUUUAUAAUAUCAAACAUUACUU